rnacentral:tRNA from 1 species
UUUCUUUCGGUGUUUGGCACAGGAAGGUUUGAGCUUCCUAGAGGGAAAGAUUCCCAUAGAAAA